rnacentral:rRNA from 1 species
AGAUUAAGUUAUUAAGGGCGCACGGUGGAUGCCUUGGCACUAGAAGCCGAUGAAGGACGUUACUAACGACGAUAUGCUUUGGGGAGCUGUAAGUAAGCUUUGAUCCAGAGAUUUCCGAAUGGGGAAACCCAGCAUGAGUUAUGUCAUGUUAUCGAUAUGUGAAUACAUAGCAUAUCAGAAGGCACACCCGGAGAACUGAAACAUCUUAGUACCCGGAGGAAGAGAAAGAAAAUUCGAUUCCCUUAGUAGCGGCGAGCGAAACGGGAAGAGCCCAAACCAACAAGCUUGCUUGUUGGGGUUGUAGGACACUCUAUACGGAGUUACAAAGGACGACAUUAGACGAAUCAUCUGGAAAGAUGAAUCAAAGAAGGUAAUAAUCCUGUAGUCGAAAAUGUUGUCUCUCUUGAGUGGAUCCUGAGUACGACGGAGCACGUGAAAUUCCGUCGGAAUCUGGGAGGACCAUCUCCUAAGGCUAAAUACUCUCUAGUGACCGAUAGUGAACCAGUACCGUGAGGGAAAGGUGAAAAGCACCCCGGAAGGGGAGUGAAAUAGAACCUGAAACCGUGUGCUUACAAGUAGUCAGAGCCCGUUAAUGGGUGAUGGCGUGCCUUUUGUAGAAUGAACCGGCGAGUUACGAUUUGAUGCAAGGUUAAGCAGUAAAUGUGGAGCCGUAGCGAAAGCGAGUCUGAAUAGGGCGUUUAGUAUUUGGUCGUAGACCCGAAACCAGGUGAUCUACCCUUGGUCAGGUUGAAGUUCAGGUAACACUGAAUGGAGGACCGAACCGACUUACGUUGAAAAGUGAGCGGAUGAACUGAGGGUAGCGGAGAAAUUCCAAUCGAACCUGGAGAUAGCUGGUUCUCUCCGAAAUAGCUUUAGGGCUAGCCUCAAGUGAUGAUUAUUGGAGGUAGAGCACUGUUUGGACGAGGGGCCCCUCUCGGGUUACCGAAUUCAGACAAACUCCGAAUGCCAAUUAAUUUAACUUGGGAGUCAGAACAUGGGUGAUAAGGUCCGUGUUCGAAAGGGAAACAGCCCAGACCACCAGCUAAGGUCCCAAAAUAUAUGUUAAGUGGAAAAGGAUGUGGCGUUGCCCAGACAACUAGGAUGUUGGCUUAGAAGCAGCCAUCAUUUAAAGAGUGCGUAAUAGCUCACUAGUCGAGUGACACUGCGCCGAAAAUGUACCGGGGCUAAACAUAUUACCGAAGCUGUGGAUUGUCCUUUGGACAAUGGUAGGAGAGCGUUCUAAGGGCGUUGAAGCAUGAUCGUAAGGACAUGUGGAGCGCUUAGAAGUGAGAAUGCCGGUGUGAGUAGCGAAAGACGGGUGAGAAUCCCGUCCACCGAUUGACUAAGGUUUCCAGAGGAAGGCUCGUCCGCUCUGGGUUAGUCGGGUCCUAAGCUGAGGCCGACAGGCGUAGGCGAUGGAUAACAGGUUGAUAUUCCUGUACCACCUAUAAUCGUUUUAAUCGAUGGGGGGACGCAGUAGGAUAGGCGAAGCGUGC